rnacentral:misc_RNA from 1 species
GAACGCACAUUGCGCCCCUUGGUAUUCCAUGGGGCAUGCCUGUUCGAGCGUCAUUUGUACCUUCAAGCUCUGCUUGGUGUUGGGUGUUUGUCUCGCCUCUGCGCGCAGACUCGCCUCAAAACAAUUGGCAGCCGGCGUAUUGAUUUCGGAGCGCAGUACAUCUCGCGCUUUGCACUCAUAACGACGACGUCCAAAAAGUACAUUUUUACACUCUUGACCUCGGAUCAGGUAGGGAUACCCGCUGAACUUAAG